AGUGACUUAACUGCAUAUCUAUCAGGCUCAUAACCUGAAGGUCGUAGGUUCAAAUCCUACCCCCGCAACCA
rnacentral:tRNA from 1 species